UUGUAAUUUGGAGAAGGUGUUUCGGAAGAGAUGAUGGUCCAAGUCCCUUGGAACAGGGCGUCGCAGAGGGUGAGAAUCCCGUAUGUGACCAAUCAUCGAUUCCAUGUGAAACCCUUUCGACGAGUCGAGUUGUUUGGGAAUGCAGCUCUAAAUGGGUGGUAAAUUUCAUCUAAAGCUAAAUACCUGCCAGAGACCGAUAGCGCACAAGUAGAGUGAUCGAAAGAUGAAAAGCACUUUGAAAAGAGAGUCAAACAGUACGUGAAAUUGUUGAAAGGGAAGCGCUUGCAAUCAGACUCGUUUGCAGAAGUUCAGCCUUCUUUCGAGAUGGUGUAUUCUUCUGUCAACGGGCCAGCAUCAGUUUCGGCGGUUGGAUAAAGACUUUGAGAACGUAUCUCUCCUCGGAGAGUGUUAUAGCUCGGAGUGUAAUGCAGCAGCUGAGACUGAGGUCCGCGCUUUUGCUAGGAUG
rnacentral:rRNA from 1 species